rnacentral:rRNA from 1 species
CCUACAGGUGGCAGCAGUAGGGAAUCUUCCACAAUGGACGAAAGUCUGAUGCAGCAACGCCGCGUGAGUGAUGAAGGGUUUCGGCUCGUAAAGCUCUGUUGGUAGUGAAGAAAGAUAGAGGUAGUAACUGGCCUUUAUUUGCUGGUUAUUACUUAGAAAGUCACGGCUUACUACGUGGCAGCAGCCGCGGUAAUACGUAGGUGGCAAGCGUUGUCCGGGUUUAUUGGGCGUAAAGCGAGUGCAGGCGGUUCAAUAAGUCUGAUGUGAAAGGCUUCGGCUCAACCGGAGAAUUGCAUCAGAAACUGUUGAACUUGAGUGCAGAAGAGGAGAGUGGAACUCCAUGUGUAGCGGUGGAAUGCGUAGAUAUAUGGAAGAACACCAGUGGCGAAGGCGGCUCUCUGGUCUGCAACUGACGCUGAGGCUCGAAAGCAUGGGUAGCGAACAGGAUUAGAUACCCCAGUAGUC